rnacentral:rRNA from 1 species
AUUGAACGCUGGCGGCAGGCUUAACACAUGCAAGUCGAGCGGGGUGAUGGUGCUUGCACUAUCACUUAGCGGCGGACGGGUGAGUAAUGCUUAGGAAUCUGCCUAUUAGUGGGGGACAACAUCUCGAAAGGGAUGCUAAUACCGCAUACGUCCUACGGGAGAAAGCAGGGGAUCGCUUGUGACCUUGCGCUAAUAGAUGAGCCUAAGUCGGAUUAGCUAGUUGGUGGGGUAAAGGCCUACCAAGGCGACGAUCUGUAGCGGGUCUGAGAGGAUGAUCCGCCACACUGGGACUGAGACACGGCCCAGACUCCUACGGGAGGCAGCAGUGGGGAAUAUUGGACAAUGGGGGGAACCCUGAUCCAGCCAUGCCGCGUGUGUGAAGAAGGCCUUAUGGUUGUAAAGCACUUUAAGCGAGGAGGAGGCUCUUUUGGUUAAUACCCAAGAUGAGUGGACAUUACUCGCAGAAUAAGCACCGGCUAACUCUGUGCCAGCCGCCGCUGUAA